UGCCCAGGUGUUGAACUUGGACCGACUGGUGUAGUAUACUGUGUUGUUUGUCCAGGUAUGGUAGUCUGACCUUGUGUUGGACCUGGUUUAGUUGUUUGUCCAGGAGUUGAACUUGGACCAACUGGUGUAGUAUACAAAGUUGUUUUUCCAGGUAUGGUUGUCUGAACUUCUGUUGUGCCAGGUUUGCUUGUUUGUCUAGUUGUGGUAGUCUGACCUUGUGUUGGACCUGGUUUAUUUGUUUGUCCAGGUGUUGAACUUGGACCGACUGGUGUAGUAUACUGAGUUGUUUGUCCAGGU